rnacentral:tRNA from 1 species
GGGCCAGUGGCGCAACGGAUAACGCGCCUGACUACGGUUAUGGAGAUUUCAAGUUCGAAUUCUGGCUGGCUCG